GCAGUCGAACGAUGAACCGGUUUCGGCCGGGGAUUAGUGGCGAACGGGUGAGUAACACGUGGGCAAUCUGCCCUGCACUCUGGGACAAGCCCUGGAAACGGGGUCUAAUACCGGAUAUGACGCGCUUCCGCAUGGGAUGCGCGUGGAAAGCUCCGGCGGUGCAGGAUGAGCCCGCGGCCUAUCAGCUUGUUGGUGAGGUAAUGGCUCACCAAGGCGACGACGGGUAGCCGGCCUGAGAGGGCGACCGGCCACACUGGGACUGAGACACGGCCCAGACUCCUACGGGAGGCAGCAGUGGGGAAUAUUGCACAAUGGGCGAAAGCCUGAUGCAGCGACGCCGCGUGAGGGAUGACGGCCUUCGGGUUGUAAACCUCUUUCAGCAGGGAAGAAGCGAGAGUGACGGUACCUGCAGAAGAAGCGCCGGCUAACUACGUGCCAGCAGCCGCGGUAAUACGUAGGGCGCAAGCGUUGUCCGGAAUUAUUGGGCGUAAAGAGCUCGUAGGCGGCUUGUCGCGUCGGAUGUGAAAGCCCGGGGCUUAACCCCGGGUCUGCAUUCGAUACGGGCAGGCUAGAGUUCGGUAGGGGAGAUCGGAAUUCCUGGUGUAGCGGUGAAAUGCGCAGAUAUCAGGAGGAACACCGGUGGCGAAGGCGGAUCUCUGGGCCGACACUGACGCUGAGGAGCGAAAGCGUGGGGAGCGAACAGGAUU
rnacentral:rRNA from 1 species